CUAACACAUGCAAGUCGAGCGGUAACAUGGUUAGUAGCAAUACUAGCUGAUGACGAGCGGCGGACGGGUGAGUAACACGUAGGAACUUGCCCAAUAGAGGGGGAUAACCAGCGGAAACGCUGGCUAAUACCGCAUAUACUCGUGAGAGGAAAGCUGCCCGCAAGGGUGGCGCUAUUGGAGAGGCCUGCGUCCGAUUAGCUAGUUGGUGAGGUAAAGGCUCACCAAGGCUGGGAUCGGUAACUGGUCUGAGAGGACGACCAGUCCCACUGGGACUGAGACACGGCCCAGACUCCUACGGGAGGCAGCAGUGGGGAGUAUUGGACAAUGGGGGAAACCCUGAUCCAGCAAUGCCGCGUGUGUGAAGAAGGCCUUAGGGUUGUAAAGCACUUUCAGCGGGGAGGAAAAUAUCAAGGGUAAUAUACUUGAGAAUUGACGUUACCCGCGGAAGAAGCACUGGCUAACUCUGUGCCAGCCGCCGCGGUAA
rnacentral:rRNA from 1 species